UACGAAGGGGGCUAGCGUUGCUCGGAAUUACUGGGCGUAAAGCGCACGUAGGCGGCUUCUUAAGUCGGUGGUGAAAUCCUGGAGCUCAACUCCAGAACUGCCUUCGAUACUGGGAGCUCGGAGUCCGGGAGAGGUGAGUCGGAACUGCGAGUGUAGAGGUGAAAUUCGUAGAAUAUUCGCAAGAACACCAGUGGCGAAGGCG
rnacentral:rRNA from 1 species